rnacentral:lncRNA from 1 species
CCUUUCCUCUCACUUUCUCCCUUCCUCCCUCCCUCCACAAAUGAGUACCCCAGACUCGGGAGGGAAGCUGAGAGGCAAUUUGAAGAAAAAAAUAGACAUUGUGGCAAAAGUUAAAGCUGGUGUUGAUAAAAAAAAGAACACAUGAUCAGGCUAGACAAACAAAGAGGUGUUCCUUAGAAAACGACAAGAAGGUGUGCGAGAGACAAUAAGAGGUUCCAAGAGCUCUACAAAACAGAAACAGUUUGGAAAUGGUAGGAUACGAGACCGCACUAGCUGCUACCGACUAACUCGUGGUAGGAUCAGACUUGGUAUCACCAUCCAUGGAGAGGACAAUGUAACAGAAGGGCUGCGUGGAUGUAGAACAGGAAAGCCAUGCCUGGCAAACUAUAUACUUUUAUGACAAAAUCGCCAAUAUACUACAGGAAAACGAUAGCUGGGUAGUGCUGCAUCUUCCUGGAUUAUCCAAAAGCGUCUGAAAGUGAUCCUCCUAAAUGGCUGGUGUAAAAGAUGAAGGGAUAACUUGGGAAAUACUAAAGGAGUUAAGGAAGUACCUGACGGAUACGAGAGGAGGAGUCAAGGUGGAGGAACAUGACAAGAGGGAUCUUGAAGGCUUGGUUUAAGGAUCACUGCUCUUGCUAAUUUAUAUGGAUGACCUGCACGAGGGAGAGAGCUCGUGCAUGUCAAUGUUGCAGAUGACGCAAAGCUGAUGAGGAAUGUCAAAACAGAGGACGACUGUAGAGAAUUACAGGAAGACCUUGACACACUCCAGUAAUAUUAAGACUUGCUAGAGUUCAAUACCCACAAGUGCAAGGUAAUGACGACGAUAGGAAGCCAGACGGAAUCUACAUCUUAAUAGGACAGUAAUUAGAGGAUUCUGAGAUUGUACAUUAACUUUGAGUGAAUAUAAUUCCCGUGCUAACAUCACCAGUAAACAUAUGGAAAGGUGGCAAACUUAGAAGGCCAUUUAAAAACUAUGAGAAGAACUCUUUUGUUUUUAACGGAAUUAACAGUCUGAACAUGCUAUGUUAGGCGAAAGUUAGACCGUGCAGCACCGGCAAGGAACCCCGUCUCGCGAAGCAAAAUUAAACGUAAAGUGAAGAAAUUUGCAACAAAAUUGGUGCCAGAUUAAAAGAACUAAAUCCCACAGCCCCAGAAGAGAGAAGAAACAGAGGGGAUAUGAUCAAAAUAUACAAAAUACUGCGAGGGGAAUACUGAAGACAAGUGUAGACUGCCUCUUUAAAGACAAAGUAGGACAACACAGGUGGAAGCUGGAAAUGAAGACGAGUCGAAGGAAUGUAAGGAAAUACUCUCAUCCUAUACGGCAGGUGAACACGUGGAGUGUCCUAUACGGCAGGUGAACACGUGGAGUGUUCUGUACGGCAGGUGAACACGUGGAGUGUUCUGUACGGCAGGUGAACACGUGGAGUGUCCUAUACGGCAGGUGAACACGUGGAGUGUCCUAUACGGCAGGUGAACACGCGGAGUGUCCUAUACGGCAGGUGAACACGUGGAGUGUCCUAUACGGCAGGUGAACACGUGGAGUGUUCUGUACGGCAGGUGAACACGUGGAGUGUCCUAUACGGCAGGUGAACACGUGGAGUGUCCUAUACGGCAGGUGAACACGUGGAGUGUCCUAUACGGCAGGUGAACACGUGGAGUGUUCUGUACGGCAGGUGAACACGUGGAGUGUCCUAUACGGCAGGUGAACACGUGGAGUGUCCUAUACGGCAGGUGAACACGUGGAGUGUUCUGUACGGCAGGUGAACACGUGGAGUGUCCUAUACGGCAGGUGAACACGUGGAGUGUCCUAUACGGCAGGUGAACACGUGGAGUGUCCUAUACGGCAGGUGAACACGCGGAGUGUCCUAUACGGCAGGUGAACACGUGGAGUGUCCUAUACGGCAGGUGAACACGUGGAGUGUCCUAUACGGCAGGUGAACACGUGGAGUGUCCUAUACGGCAGGUGAACACGUGGAGUGUCCUAUACGGCAGGUGAACACGUGGAGUGUCCUAUACGGCAGGUGAACACGUGGAGUGUCCUAUACGGCAGGUGAACACGUGGAGUGUCCUAUACGGCAGGUGAACACGUGGAGUGUCCUAUACGGCAGGUGAACACGCGGAGUGUCCUAUACGGCAGGUGAACACGUGGAGUGUCCUAUACGGCAGGUGAACACGCGGAGUGUCCUAUACGGCAGGUGAACACGCGGAGUGUCCUAUACGGCAGGUGAACACGCGGAGUGUCCUAUACGGCAGGUGAACACGCGGAGUGUCCUAUACGGCAGGUGAACACGUGGAGUGUUCUGUACGGCAGGUGAACACGUGGAGUGUUCUGUACGGCAGGUGAACACGUGGAGUGUCCUAUACGGCAGGUGAACACGUGGAGUGUUCUGUACGGCAGGUGAACACGUGGAGUGUUCUAUACGGCAGGUGAACACGUGGAGUGUCCUAUACGGCAGGUGAACACGUGGAGUGUUCUGUACGGCAGGUGAACACGUGGAGUGUCCUAUACGGCAGGUGAACACGUGGAGUGUCCUAUACGGCAGGUGAACACGUGGAGUGUCCUAUACGGCAGGUGAACACGUGGAGUGUCCUAUACGGCAGGUGAACACGUGGAGUGUCCUAUACGGCAGGUGAACACGUGGAGUGUCCUAUACGGCAGGUGAACACGUGGAGUGUCCUAUACGGCAGGUGAACACGUGGAGUGUCCUAUACGGCAGGUGAACACGUGGAGUGUCCUAUACGGCAGGUGAACACGUGGAGUGUCCUAUACGGCAGGUGAACACGUGGAGUGUCCUAUACGGCAGGUGAACACGUGGAGUGUCCUAUACGGCAGGUGAACACGUGGAGUGUCCUAUACGGCAGGUGAACACGUGGAGUGUCCUAUACGGCAGGUGAACACGUGGAGUGUUCUGUACGGCAGGUGAACACGUGGAGUGUCCUAUACGGCAGGUGAACACGUGGAGUGUCCUAUACGGCAGGUGAACACGUGGAGUGUCCUAUACGGAGGUGAACACGUGGAGUGUCCUAUACGGCAGGUGAACACGUGGAGUGUCCUAUACGGGAGGUGAACACGUGGAGUGUCCUAUACGGGAGGUGAACACGUGGAGUGUCCUAUACGGCAGGUGAACACGUGGAGUGUCCUAUACGGCAGGUGAACACGUGGAGUGUCCUAUACGGCAGGUGAACACGUGGAGUGUCCUAUACGGCAGGUGAACACGUGGAGUGUCCUAUACGGGAGGUGAACACGUGGAGUGUCCUAUACGGCAGGUGAACACGUGGAGUGUCCUAUACGGGAGGUGAACACGUGGAGUGUCCUAUACGGGAGGUGAACACGUGGAGUGUCCUAUACGGCAGGUGAACACGUGGAGUGUCCUAUACGGGAGGUGAACACGUGGAGUGUCCUAUACGGGAGGUGAACACGUGGAGUGUCCUAUACGGCAGGUGAACACGUGGAGUGUCCUAUACGGCAGGUGAACACGUGGAGUGUCCUAUACGGCAGGUGAACACGUGGAGUGUUCUGUACGGCAGGUGAACACGUGGAGUGUCCUAUACGGCAAGUGAACACGUGGAGUGUUCUGUACGGCAGGUGAACACGUGGAGUGUUCUGUACGGCAGGUGAACACGUGGAGUGUUCUGUACGGCAGG